rnacentral:rRNA from 1 species
AUUGAACGCUGGCGGCAGGCCUAACACAUGCAAGUCGAACGGUAACAGGGAUCAGCUUGCUGAUUCGCUGACGAGUGGCGGACGGGUGAGUAAUGUCUGGGAAACUGCCUGAUGGAGGGGGAUAACUACUGGAAACGGCAGCUAAUACCGCAUAACGUCGCAAGACCAAAGAGGGGGACCUUCGGGCCUCUUGCCAUCGGAUGUGCCCAGAUGGGAUUAGCUAGUAGGUGGGGUAACGGCUCACCUAGGCGACGAUCCCUAGCUGGUCUGAGAGGAUGACCAGCCACACUGGAACUGAGACACGGUCCAGACUCCUACGGGAGGCAGCAGUGGGGAAUAUUGCACAAUGGGCGCAAGCCUGAUGCAGCCAUGCCGCGUGUAUGAAGAAGGCCUUCGGGUUGUAAAGUACUUUCAGCGGGGAGGAAGGGAGUAAAGUUAAUACCUUUGCUCAUUGACGUUACCCGCAGAAGAAGCACCGGCUAACUCCGUG